AGUUAUAGUUUUUUCUGGCCAAACGUAUUCAUGCAAUAUUGAGACCCAUCGUACCACUUUUACCUUACCGUUAGCCAACAAAGUAGAAGUAACUCCUGAUUAAAAUAUGCACCAAUAAGUAUCCUUCAUACUUUCAAUAAACUAUGUUCAAGACGUUUCACAAGAAGCAAAACUAGUCAGACAGCAGAACUUAACCGUAAUGAGAAGCAAAUGGCAUCGCAGCGCAGAAGCCACAUUCAAAUCCAUCGUUCUUAACAGUGAUAAGCGAAUAAAAUUGUUAUCACCAAAGUCUACCCGUUGACGUCGCGCAUAUGUGGCCAUUUUCUUUACUGGCUACAGCGGUUCAAAUGCAGGGCAAAAAUUACCAUAACUAAUCAGUUCCCCAGUGACCACGGCAGCAGAAGGCCGUCGAACCAAAAAACCCGUAACCAUUUGGAAGGAAAUUUAAUAUAAGACGAUCUGCAGUGGUUCGAUUUCUGUCAGUAUCCUAUUGAUCAUCGUUCGGAAGCAGUGCCUCGUAACGUUUCUAAUAAUACCGGAAUCGGAACUCGGCGAACACAUGGCGUACUGGA